rnacentral:pre_miRNA from 1 species
AUGUAGGGUAAUCUGUCUUUAAGUAGGGGUAAAUUACUCUUAAAGAAAAAAAAAAAGGAAUCCUAGAUAGUUUUCCCUUCAAGUUAAGCAUCUUGU